UUCCGGUUGAUCCCGCCGGACCCCACUGCUAUCGAGAUGGGACUAAGGUAUGCUAGUCGAACGACCAGAACUAUGUCUGGGAGUGGCACACUGCUCAGUAACACGUAGCUAACCUACCCUUAGGACGUGGAUACCCCCGAGAAAUUGGGGUUAAUCCGCGAUAGAUGUAAUGUCCUGGAAUGGUAUUACGUCUAAAGGUAUUUCAUACAUGUUUGAAAUAUGCCUAAGGAUGGGGCUGCGGCCGAUCAGGCUGUUGGUGAGGUAAUGGCUCACCAAACCUUUGACCGGUACGGGCCAUGAGAGUGGUAGCCCGGAGAUGGACACUGAGACAAGGGUCCAGGCCCUAAGGGGCGCAGCAACCGCGAAACCUCCACAAUGCACUCACGUGCGAUGGGGCUAUCUCGAGUGCCACCUGAUGAAGGUGGCUUUUCCUAGGUCUUCAAAGCCUUGGGAAUAAGAGGGGGGCAAGACUGGUGUCAGCCGCCGCGGUAACACCAGCCCCUCGAGUGGUGGGGAUGAUUAUUUGGCCU
rnacentral:rRNA from 1 species